AGAGUUUGAUCCUGGCUCAGAAUGAACGUUGGCGGCGUGGAUUAGGCAUGCAAGUCGUACGCACCGCAAGGUGAGUGGCGCAAGGGUGAGUAAGGCGACGGUAACCAACCCCAGGACUGGGUAUAGCCGCGGGAAACUGCGGGUAAUCCCCAGCGAUGUCACGAGGGGGCAUCUCCUUGUGACCAAAGCUCCGGCGUCGUGGGACGGGCCGUCGUGGUAUUAGGUUGUUGGCGGGGUAACGGCCCACCAAGCCUCUGAUGCCUACCGGGCGUGCGAGCGUGGCCCGGCACACUGGGACUGAGACACUGCCCAGACUCCUACGGGAGGCUGCAGUCGAGAAUCUUCGGCAAUGGGCGCAAGCCUGACCGAGCGACGCCGCGUGGAGGACGAAGGCCUUCGGGUUGUAAACUCCUGUCGAGGGGGAAGACGGCGCAAGCU
rnacentral:rRNA from 1 species